rnacentral:rRNA from 2 species
UGCUUGCACUGCCGUAACAAGGUGACUGGUGGAGAGCUGAUGAGUCCUGGUGGGAAAUCCGCCCAGAAGGGGGGGAUAACUGUUGGAAACAGGUGCUAAUACCUAUCUCUAACGAAAUCCUGAUGGUUUUUGUUUGAAAGGUGGCUUCAUCUAUUUCUUCUGGAUGAUCCCCCGGCGUAUUAGUUGGUGGGGGAGGUGCCUGCCCACGUGAAGAAUCAUACCUAACCUACCUGGUAGGGUAAUCGGCUUGGUUGGGACUGACACACGGCCCUCCUUCCGACGGGAGGCAUCAGUAAUCAAUCUUCCUGGACGGACGAAAGUUGGAUGGACCCCUGCCGCGUGAGUGAAGAAUGGUUUCCGAUCGUAAAACACUCUGUUGUUAAAGAACAAACACCUUUGAAACUAACUGUUCAAUGGGUUGACGGUAUUUAACCAGAAAGCCACGAACUAACUACGUGCCAGCAGCCGCGGUAAUUCAUACGUAGGUGGCAAGCGUUGUCCGGAUUUAUUGAUUGGGCGUAAAACGCAGCGCAGGCGGUUUUUUAAGUCUGAUGUGAAAGCCUUCGUAACUUAACCGGAAUGAGUGCAUCAGACAGACUGGGACUUACUUGAGUGCAGANGANAGAGAGACACUGGAACUCCAUGUGUAGCGAAAUGGAAUGCGUAGAUAUAUGGAAGAANCACCAGCUGGCGAAAGAAGGCUCUCUGUCUAUGUCUGUAACUGACGACUGACGAUCGAAAGCAUGGGCUAAACAAACAGGAAAUACAUACCCUAGUCCAGUCCAUGCCGAUAAACGAAUGAGUGCUAAGNNUGUUGNGAGGGCUUCCCUCCCUUCAGUGCCUGCUAACUANACGCAAUAAGUCACUCCUGGCCUGGAGGUNAGUACCGACCNGCAAGGAUUGNNAAACUCGAAAGGAAUUGACGGGGGCCCGCACAAGCGGUGGAGCAUGUGGUUUAAUUCGAAGCUACGCGAAGAACCUUACCAGGUCUUGACAUCCUUUGCCCAUCUUAGAGAUUAGACGUUCCCUUCGGGGACAGAAUGACAGGUGGUGCAUGGUUGUCGUCAGCUCGUGUCGUGAGAUGUUGGGUUAAGUCCCGCAACGAGCGCAACCCUUAUUAUCAGUUGCCAGCAUUCAGUUGGGCACUCUGGUGAGACUGCCGGUGACAAACCGGAGGAAGGUGGGGAUGACGUCAAGUCAUCAUGCCCCUUAUGACCUGGGCUACACACGUGCUACAAUGGACGGUACAACGAGUUGCGAAGUCGUGAGGUUAAGCUAAUCUCUUAAAGCCGUUCUCAGUUCGGAUUGUAGGCUGCAACUCGCCUACAUGAAGUUGGAAUCGCUAGUAAUCGCGGAUCAGCAUGCCGCGGUGAAUACGUUCCCGGGCCUUGUACACACCGCCCGUCACACCAUGAGAGUUUGUAACACCCAA